rnacentral:rRNA from 1 species
GUGCCAGCAGCCGCGGUAAUACGGAGGGUGCAAGCGUUAUCCGGAAUCACUGGGUUUAAAGGGUGCGUAGGCGGUCAGAUAAGUCAGUUGUGAAAUACCCCGGCUUAACCGGAGGAACUGCGAUUGAUACUGUUUGACUUGAAUCAGGUUGAGGUAGGCGGAAUGUGGCAUGUAGCGGUGAAAUGCUUAGAUAUGCCAUAGAACACCGAUUGCGAAGGCAGCUUGCUGGGCCUGUAUUGACGCUGAGGCACGAAAGCGUGGGGAGCAAACAGGAUUAGAUACCCGGGUAGUCC